CCUACGGGGCGCACCAGUGGGGAAUAUUGCACAAUGGGCGCAAGCCUGAUGCAGCCAUGCCGCGUGUAUGAAGAAGGCCUUCGGGUCGUAAAGUACUUUCAGCGGGGAGGAAGGCGAUAAGGUUAAUAACCUUGUCGAUUGACGUUACCCGCAGAAGAAGCACCGGCUAACUCCGUGCCAGCAGCCGCGGUAAUACGGAGGGUGCAAGCGUUAAUCGGAAUUACUGGGCGUAAAGCGCGCGCAGGCGGUCUGUCAAGUCGGAUGUGAAAUCCCCGGGCUCAACCUGGGAACUGCAUUCGAAACUGGCAGGCUGGAGUCUUGUAGAGGGGGGUAGAAUUCCAGGUGUAGCGGUGAAAUGCGUAGAGAUCUGGAGGAAUACCGGUGGCGAAGGCGGCCCCCUGGACAAAGACUGACGCUCAGGGGCGAAAGCGUGGGGAGCAAACAGGAUUAGAUACCCUCGUAGUC
rnacentral:rRNA from 1 species